rnacentral:rRNA from 1 species
UACAGAGGUCCCGAGCGUUGUUCGGAUUCAUUGGGCGUAAAGGGUGCGUAGGCGGUUUGCUAAGUUUGAUGUGAAAGCCCGGGGCUUAACCCUGGAAUGGCAUUGAAUACUGGCGAACUAGAGUACUGGAGAGGAAACUGGAAUUUACGGUGUAGCAGUGAAAUGCGUAGAGAUCCGGCGGAACACCGGUGGCGCAGGCGGUCCCCUGGGCCGAGGCCGACGCUGGGGCGCGAGAGCGCGGGGAGCGAACCGG